GUUCCUACGGGACGCAGCAGUGGGGAAUAUUGCACAAUGGGGGAAACCCUGAUGCAGCGACGCCGCGUGAGUGAGGAAGUAUUUCGGUAUGUAAAGCUCUAUCAGCAGGGAAGAAAAUGACGGUACCUGACUAAGAAGCCCCGGCUAACUACGUGCCAGCAGCCGCGGUAAUACGUAGGGGGCAAGCGUUAUCCGGAUUUACUGGGUGUAAAGGGAGCGUAGACGGAUAAGCAAGUCUGAUGUGAAAAUCCGGGGCCCAACCCCGGAAUUGCAUUGGAAACUGCAUAUCUAGAGUGUCGGAGAGG
rnacentral:rRNA from 1 species